CCUACGGGUGGCAGCAGUGGGGAAUAUUGCACAAUGGGGGAAACCCUGAUGCAGCGACGCCGCGUGAGCGAUGAAGGAUUUCGGUAUGUAAAGCUCUAUCAGCAGGGAAGAAAAUGACGGUACCUGACUAAGAAGCCCCGGCUAACUACGUGCCAGCAGCCGCGGUAAUACGUAGGGGGCAAGCGUUAUCCGGAUUUACUGGGUGUAAAGGGAGCGUAGACGGUUGUGCAAGCCCGAGGUGAAAGCCCGGGGCUCAACCCCGGGACUGCAUUGGAAACUGUAAGGCUAGAGUGCAGGAGAGGAAAGUGGAAGUCCUAGUGUAGCGGUGAAAUGCGUAGAUAUUAGGAGGAACACCAGUGGCGAAGGCGGCCUGCUGGACGAUAACUGACGUUGAGGCUCGAAAGCGUGGGGAGCAAACAGGAUUAGAUACCCCUGUAGUC
rnacentral:rRNA from 1 species